AUCUUCAGGGCGAGGUGAAAUUCCUCACCGGCGGUAACGGAGCAAUCCGAAGCCCGCGAGCGAAAGCUGAUUCGGUGCAAUUCCGAAGCCGACGGUACAGUCCGGAUGAAAGAAGAA
rnacentral:ncRNA from 1 species